GAUGAAGAACGCAGCGAAAUGCGAUACUUGGUGUGAAUUGCAGAAUCCCGUGAACCAUCGGGUCUUUGAACGCAAGUUGCGCCUCAAGCCAUUAGGUUGAGGGCACGUCUGCCUGGGCGUCACAUAUCGUUGCCUGAUGCCAGUUUCCUCGUGAUGGGUGACUGUGCAGGGCGAAUGAUGGCUUCCCGUGAGCAUUGUUGCCUCAUGGUUGGUUGAAAAUUGAGUCCUUGGUAGGGAGCGCCGUGAUAGAUGGUGGUUGAGUGACGAACGAGACCCAAUCAUGUGAGACCCCUACCGAAUUUGGCCUUCAUGACCCACAUGCGUCUUUGGAACGCUCAUGACGAGACCUCAGGUCAGGCGGGGCUACCCGCUGAGUUUAAGCAUAUCAAUAAGCGGAGGA
rnacentral:misc_RNA from 1 species